CGACAUGAAAUGUACUGGCUUGGUGUCGUCUAACGUCAAAUACAUCCAGCAUAAAGGUAGGGUCACCGGCUAGCACGUUUGCUUACGAGUUCCGCACUUUGCAGAACUGACGCUUCUCGCCCAAAUAUCUACGAUCAGAGGUUUCUCCGGCGUCUAUGUUCCCGUGUUUGUGUCCCCCAGUCCCUCCGGAACAGAAGCUAGCCAGCACAAACCAACCGGCAAUCAGGCGAUCAGUGGUUUUAUCUACAGAUGCAAAGGAAAACGAGCACCAGGUGUGUAUGCACAACCCCGGAGACCUCCAUCAGGCUCCCAAACCAACCCGACUCUUCUCACCCCAACCUGCUCACCUUGAGAAGGCUAUGGGUCAGGCUGUCUCUGGAGCAUGUUCUGGAAGGAGUCGUCCCCAGUGGCCAGCGGGACACUGUGGUGCCCCUUACAGACAUUCAUGAAAGACUGGGAAUGACCAGAUAUUCAAUCCACUGUGGACAACCCCCCAGCAUCACAUCAUUCGAAGCUCUGCCUAGCGCCAUGCUGUACAUAUUGUAGAAACUUUCCCACCGUGAAGUCCAGCACCUGAGCUUUACAGCUUAUAGAAUCUAAGACAUGAUCAGGGGUAAGACGAACCAUGGUUUUAGGAACCACUAAGAAAGGAGCAAUGCUGCCUGCUCACCUGUGUAAAUUGUUGGCUGUGCCCAGACUGCAGCAAUGGUACUGUGUGCAUCUUAGACUCAGUGAACUAUAGUGGCCGCCCCCCUCAUCUCUGACAAGUGGCUGAAUGAGCCAGGAGCCUGCUGGGUUUUCAGGUCACUCCCCCCAGGUUUGGAGUGCGCCAUCUACAGGGAUAGGGGACAAACAGUCAGUCUUACAUGCACACUGCCUUGCUGGGCCAUGGGUCCUCCCCAACUCCCCUGUAGGAAAUUCAUGCUGGCUGUGCUGGGGGGAGGCAAGCAGGACCUGGGGAGUCUGGAGUCCAGGGAAAUCUCAAAGUAGAGUGAGAAAGAGGGAAGAGCUUUGGAAGAAAUAAACGUCUGUGUCCGUGGGGCCUGAUGGCAUGAGAGGCGAAAAGGCAGCGAGGAGGCAGAAAGGAAGCCAGGGACAGAGCAGCACCAUCGACAGAGACAGGAGAACCAGGGAGCCGGCUGGUGGGGGUGGUUGGGGUUGAGCUGAGCUCAAGAUGAGCAAGGUCAGCCAGUAGAAAAGGCCAGACAUGAGCAGUGGAGGUGGUGGAGAGGCUGUCUCUGGAGGGGAGUGGAGACGGGCUUCUGAGCCUGGGAGGGAUGGAGGAAAGCCCCAACGCAGCAGCCCGAGAGAUUAGAGAGGAGCGGAGGAAGGCGGGAGUGGCCAGUGGUUGUAAACCUCGGAAGGGUCUGUAUGAAGAGGGAUUCAGGGGCGCCUGGGUGGCUCAUUCGGUUAAGCAUCUGACUUUUGAUCUCAGGGUCAUCUGUCCAAGCCCUGGGGUUGUGGAUCGUACUUUAAGAACUUUUAAAAAAAUUCAAGAAUGAGGACUCAGAAGAGACCCUUGGCUUGAUGACCUUCGAGUGCUUAGUUUUAUUAGAGGGCUGGGAAAAAGUCAGCUUGCGAAGAAUUAAGGAAGAAAUGCAGGCAGGAAGGGUAGUGGCAGGCUCUAGGAGCUCAGCUGCGAGAAACACCGAUGCGAUGCAGCCCGCGGGGAAAGUAGAGGCUUUCUGAGACGGGCCAGGCCUUUGCAGGCAGCAGACAGGAGGUGGGGGGGGAAUUAGAGCCCCUGUGUGGAGAGGAUGCAUCCCUUCCCUCGAGAGAUGAAAAGGAUGGUCAGGCCCCCAGGGCAGGUGGAAUGAUGGGCCCUUUGCAGGGAGAGAGAGGACAGUGGGAGGGCAGGGUCGAGGAGGAGGGUGAGAGACCUCAUCCUUUCAAGGACCUGGACCCGGCUGAACCCACAAUAAGCAAAAAAGGGGGUUGGGAACGGGAACUGAGGAAAGCGAGAAAGGCCCAGAACAUUUGCUGUAGCACAGUUGUCCCUAGAAAGUGUGUUCCAAGUCCCCUGGGCUUGAGGAGAUCUUGGGAUCCUAAAACCGGGGACAGCCUCAGCUGGUCUUCUCUUGGGCUCUUUGCCAAAGGAGUAGAAUGUCUCAAUCCUGUCAGCAAUGCCUUAAAAAUAUAUCCAGGGUCUGACCAGUGUUAGAUUCCCCAUGGGCUGAGUUUGGUUCUCUCUGAUACACUCGGAGCUCACGGGGAGCUGCGAGUGGGAGGUGGACUGGGGGGGCUCUCGGGCCAGGGGAAGAGAGAAUGAAGUUGAACUGCCCUGUGGGCCUUGCUGACCCCUAGGACCUCUAGAGUGGGGUGGCCCCUGGAGGUGUCCUCAAAGCAUUGGCCAGUCUCUGCCUCAAUUUUCUCCACCCACCUCACCCCCGGUUAUGGGCUAAAUUGUGUCUCUCCAAAUUCACACUCAGCAUGUGGCUGUGUUUAGGGUCAGGCCCUAUAAAGAAGCGAUUGGGCUAAAAGGAGGCCACGUGGAUGGACCCUCAUCCAAUCUAUGUCCCUGUAAGAAGCAGAGAUCAGGACCCAAACAGGUGCAGAGGGAAGACUGGUGAAACCCCAGAGAGAAGACGGCUGGUCGCCUAUAGACCAAGGAAAAAGGCCUUUGGAGACUCCAACUUGCCAGCGCAGGGUUCUCUGACCUCCAGUCUCCAGAACUGUGAGAAAUAAACUUCUGUUGUUGAAGCCCGCUGUCUGCGGAACUUUGUUCGAGUGGCCUGGAGCAGACCAGCUCGCCAUGUCCUGUCUUCUUCCCUUCUCCGAUUUUCUCCUUCGCAUGCUUCCCUCUCCAACAGAAGAAAUCCUUUGUUUAUUUCCUUAUUUCUCUGUCACCCUCCUCCUUCUGUAUUAUAAGCUCACGGAGCAGGAAUGCUGAUUCCUAGUGGCAACCAGAGAGCCUGCCCAGUGAAUAAAUGAGUCCCCUUAGUUCCAUCUCGUCCCGUGAGAGCAGAGGAGUCACAACUUCUGUGGUCACCCGUGGCAGUGAUUCUGACCCCGGCUGAUGAAUUUAGGGAACAGAUAUUUUCUGAGCACCUGCUGUGUGCCCAGGAUUGUUCUAGACGCUGGGGAAAGAGCAGCACACAAAACAGAGGAAAGUCGUCCCUGCCACAGAGGGGACAUCCCACAAACAAAAUCCAUUAACAUGGUAGAUGGUGACAGUGCUGCGGGGCACAGGAGAAUGCUGGGAGGAGGGACAAUUUUAAACGGGGGUCAGGGAGGGCCUCGUUGAGAAGUGACGUCUGAGUUAGGAACUGAAGCAAUGGAGGGAAAGAGCCCCGUGGGUGUCUCAGGGAAGGGCAUUUCUGGUGCCGGGAACAGCCAGUGCAAAUCCCUGAGGAGGGGCUGGAGGAGGCGCGAGCCCUCGCUACACUGACUUUUGCUCUGAGAGAUGGGAGCAGAGCAGAGCCGAGCUCAGAUGCGGUUUUCAUCAGACCGUCCCAAGGUCUGGGAUACUGAAACCUGAGCGCAGGGCAGAGGGAGGG